UGGGGAAUAUUGCACAAUGGGCGGAAGCCUGAUGCAGCGACGCCGCGUGGGGGAUGAAGGCCUUCGGGUUGUAAACUCCUUUCGACAGGGACGAAGCUUUUGUGACGGUACCUGUAUAAGAAGCACCGGCUAACUACGUGCCAGCAGCCGCGGUAAUACGUAGGGUGCGAGCGUUGUCCGGAAUUACUGGGCGUAAAGAGCUCGUAGGUGGUUUGUCGCAUCGUCUGUGAAAUUCCGGGGCUUAACUCCGGGCGUGCAGGCGAUACGGGCUGACUUGGGGGCUGUAGGGGAGACUGGAAUUCCUGGGGUAGCAGUGAAAUGCGCAGAUAUCAGGAGGAACACCGAUGGCGAAGGCAGGUCUCUGGGCAGUAACUGACGCUGAGGAGCGAAAGCAUGGGUAGCGAACAGG
rnacentral:rRNA from 1 species